rnacentral:rRNA from 1 species
GAUUUCCUGAGUAACGGCGAGCGAAAGGGAAAUAGUCCAGCGCUAAGUCUUGACGUUUAAGCGUUCAAGAGAUGCAGCGUUUAUGUGUUGGUGUAUCGUAUAUUGUCGUUGGUUUUAAGUUCCUUUGACAGGGACAUCCAGAGCGGGUGCUAGGCCCAUAAAGACAAACGACUGAUAUAUGCAAACCAAUGCAUUCUAGAGUCAGGUUGCUUGAGAGUGCAGCUUAAAGUCGGUGGUAAACUCCAUCCAAGACUAAAUAUUACAGCGAGACCGAUAGCAAACAAGUACCGUGAGGGAAAGUUGCAAAGCACUUUGAAGAGAGAGUUCAACAGUACGUGAAACCACUGGGAGGCAAACAGAUGGAACCACGAAGUUUGCGCUUCGGUCGAUUCAAUCAACACUAAACGCCAACAGUACUGGAAAUGGAUCUUUUCGGAGAUUGUUCCAGUGCUUUUCGGCUUUUGGUUUUGGUGCAUUUCGUACCGAGGAUGCUAAGCCACGUUCGACUAGAUGAUUGGGACGGCCGUAGGAAAGGGUAAAAGAAAGGUGGCCGUCAAGUCUUUGAUUUGACGGCGUUAUAGUCUUUAGCCGGAACCGUCGCCUAAUGAACUGGUCGAUAUAAAUUCUCCAUUUGGAGUAUAAUAUAUAGGCUACGUUUGUCUGUGAACAACAUUUUUAUAGUUAACAUUUGGAAGUGUUCUUCUUGUGUCUUUGGAUGCGAAAAGCCACCUUUAACAAUGUUUGCUAAUGUUCACUUACAUAACGUGGUUUAGAACUGUGGCACGAGUAGGUCGGUUUCCAUUUGACCCGUCUUGAAACACGGACCAAGGAGCCUAUCAUAUACGCGAGUCGCUCGGUCUUGUUUAGGCCAGAGAGGCAUAAUGAAAGUAAAGCUACGAGGCUUCGGUCGCAGUAGCGGCUCGCCUACUUCGUUUAUUUGGCGAUCAGGCGAAGCUGGAGCGUAUACGAUGGUACCCGAAAGAUGGUGAACUAUGCCUGGGCAAGAUGAAGCCAGAGGAAACUCUGGUGGAGGUCUGUAGCGAUUCUGACGUGCAAAUCGAUCGUCAGACCUGGGUAUAGGGGCGAAAGACUAAUCGAACCAUCUAGUAGCUGGUUCCCUCCGAAGUUUCCCUCAGGAUAGCAGGCGCUUUUCUACUCAGUCUCAUCCGGUAAAGCUAAUGAUUAGAGGUCUUGGGGUUGAAACGACCUCAACCUAUUCUCAAACUUUAAAUGGGUGAGAUGGUUGACUUUCUUGAUUUGAAGCCGACCAUUUGGAUGUAUGAGUGCCUAGUGGGCCAUUUUUGGUAAGCAGAACUGGCGCUGUGGGAUGAACCAAACGUCGAGAUAAGGCAUCAAAUGUUUACGCUCAUCAGACCCCAUAAAAGGUGUUGGUUGCUAUAGACAGCAGGACGGUGGCCAUGGAAGUCGGAAUCC